UACGUAGGGUGCAAGCGUUAAUCGGAAUUACUGGGCGUAAAGCGUGCGCAGGCGGUUUGUAAGUCUGUCGUGAAAGCCCCGGGCUCAACCUGGGAAUUGCGAUGGAGACUGCAAGGCUUGAAUCUGGCAGAGGGGGGUAGAAUUCCACGUGUAGCAGUGAAAUGCGUAGAGAUGUGGAGGAACACCGAUGGCGAAGGCAGCCUCCUGGGCCAGCACGUGACGCUCAUGCACGAAAGCGUGGG
rnacentral:rRNA from 1 species